CGACGGAAAGACGGACAGGCAGACGGACACCGGACAUUUGUAUAACAUAAUGCAUCCCGUCAAAAUUUUGACGGACGUAUAAAAAUAAGAAAAGCUAAGAAUAGAGUUUGAAUUUUUAUGUCUUUGUAGAUUGUGCCACAGUUUACAUAUUAAAUGACAAGUAUAAAAUGACAUCAUUUAAACAUAUAAAUUGAUGAAUGAUACAAAUUUUUCUUUUCUUAAAAUAACUACUCUACAUGAACUUGCUGAAAACCGGGGAAUAAUAUGUGAAAAAUUAAACAAUAUUCAUAUACAGUAAAAUUUCAUCAAUUGAAUAUCAGCAGUUUAAGCAAAGCAGGGAAUUUGUUGUGUGAAUAAAAAUGUUUGUUGAUUUGUUAUAUUAUUUUUUCUGUGUUAAAUGAAUUAUUUGUCUCACCCUAUUUGUUAUCUUAUCCAAUUUGAGGUUAUUUAGGUGUUUUUGUUCUUGCAGUAAUAACUGACAGACAUUUUUUGCAAAAAUUAAUUUUUACAGAUCUUUGAAAUAAAGUUGUGCCUAUAUAUAUAAGAUUUCAUCAUUUUAAAACAAUAAGGUGUAGUCUGGUUAACGCAUAUUUAAGAAAACAUAUGAAGCAAAAAUCAUUAUUGAGAAUGUUUAAACUUUAAGUUGAGUAAGCAAUUUUGCUUAACAGUCGUGCAAUAUAACAAAAUCUCCUCUUUCAAGGUGCCAUUAUAAUGAAAUUUCACUUUUUAAAAUAAUUUGGUUGGUUAUCUACUAAAAUAAUCAAAGACAAUGCUUUAAAAUUUUACAAAACUGAAAAAUAACAAAUAUCUCAAUUUGACAAUAAAAUUUACAUAUAAACUAUCAAAAGUCAAACCUUAAAAAUAUCACACAAUCCACAAUCUUCCUACUGCAAUUAUUAUUGCGAAUUUCCGUAUUUUCUUCAACAUUUUUGUUCUUCCUGGUUUUGUGUUGUUAGGUUUCUGUUUUAAUGUAUGUGUAAUUUACAUCUCUGUUUUGUUAUCAUUAAUGGUAUCACAACACUCAAAAGUAAACUGAUGCCCAUUUUACAUAUUAGAACCAGUCAUAUAAAGCAUUGCAUGAAGUAAAUGUAUGGAUGAAAAAUGCCAUGAUUUCAUUAGUAGAAAAAUUAUAAAUCUAACAAUACAAAAUAAGAUAUAUAUUUGAAAAGCCAUAUAAAUAGUUUAUAUAAUCUACAUCACAAACAAUGAAUUUCUUUUGAAUAAAUUUUUAGUUCAUUA
rnacentral:lncRNA from 1 species